rnacentral:rRNA from 1 species
GAUGAACGCUGGCGGCGUGCCUAAUACAUGCAAGUCGAGCGAACAGACGAGGAGCUUGCUCCUUUGACGUUAGCGGCGGACGGGUGAGUAACACGUAGGUAACCUACCUAUAAGACUGGGAUAACUUCGGCAAACCGGAGCUAAUACCGGAUAAUAUUUCGAACCGCAUGGUUCGAUAGUGAAAGAUGGCUUUGCUAUCACUUAUAGAUGGACCUGCGCCGUAUUAGCUAGUUGGUAAGGUAACGGCUUACCAAGGCAACGAUACGUAGCCGACCUGAGAGGGUGAUCGGCCACACUGGAACUGAGACACGGUCCAGACUCCUACGGGAGGCAGCAGUAGGGAAUCUUCCGCAAUGGGCGAAAGCCUGACGGAGCAACGCCGCGUGAGUGAUGAAGGUCUUCGGAUCGUAAAACUCUGUUAUUAGGGAAGAACAAACGUGUAAGUAACUGUGCACGUCUUGACGGUACCUAAUCAGAAAGCCACGGCUAACUACGUG